CUUUCCCGGAUGUUUCCCCCUUUCGCCGGUAUCACCUACUACGGCGUUAGGGCACACCGAACACCGCGUAUUGUCUUGUUACGCUUUGUGAUGCUUUGAUUGCUUUGUUAUUUAUUGUGUUCCCUCUAUGUUACUUCUUUUCGAUAGACCCCGAGACUGUCGGCGACCCCCAGUUCGACUACGGUGUUGGUGACUCGUCCUUCUUGCCAGAGCAACCAGGCAAGCCCCCCCCUUGACCACCAGAUAUCGCCUAUUCUCCUCUAUACUGCUUGCAUUAGAGUAGUGUAGCAUGUUACUGCUUUCCGUUAAUCCUAUUCUGAUGCAUAGCCUGACAUUGUUGCUAUAUCUGUUGAUACCUUACCUGCAAUCCUAAAUACUUAGUAUAGGAUGCUAGGUUAUCAUCAUUGGCCCUACAUUCUUGUCAGUCUGCCUUGCUAUACUAUUGGGCCGUGAUCACUCGGGAGGUGAUCACGGGUAUAUACUAUACAUACAUACAUACUAUACAGAUGGUGACUAAAGUCGGGUCAGCUCGAUGAGUACCCGCAAGUGAUUCUGAUGAGGGGGCUGAAAGGAGAGGUGGCUCCAUCCCGGUAGAGGUGGGCCUGGGUUCCCGACGGCCGCCGACUGUUACUUUGUGGCGGAGCGAUAGGGCAGGUUGAUACCGCCUAGGAGAGAGGUGGGUCUGGCCCUGUUCGGCGUUCGCGGAUAUUUAACACGCUUAACGAGAUCUUGGUAUUUGAUCUGAGUUGGCUACGAGCCUAUACGCACUAACCAUCUACGCGGGAGUAGUUAUGGGUAUCCCGACGUCGUGGUAUCAGCCGAAGCACUUCGUGACGUCAGCAACUGAGCGGCGCGCACCGGAUUGUAACGUAAGCCUGCUCUUGUAUUAAGGGGGCUAGUUCUGCUUUCGGCCGCCCAUGCAACGUGCAGGUGUGCUAAGGGCGAUGGGCCCAGACCCCUGUGCGCUUAGGUUUAGACCGGCGUGCUGACCUCUCUGUUGUGUCUAGGUGGGGCUGCGACGUGUUGAUCUUCCGAGGCCGGGCAUGACCCACGAAAGUGUGUCCGGCCAAAUGGGAUCGAGCGUGUUGGGUAAGUUGGUGCACCCUUGCAGGGAAGUUAAUCUAUUCGAAUAGCCGUGAUCUUCGGUAACAGGACGACUUGGAGUUGUACCUUGACCUUAUGACAACUAGAACCGGAUACUUAAUAAAACACACUCUUCCAAGUUCCACAGACAACCCGGUGAUCACUUUUCUACAGGGCGACGAGGAGAGGAUCGCCGGGUAGGAUUAUGCUAUGCGAUGCUACUGGAGAUGCUACUGGAGAUGCUACUGGAGAUUCUACUGGAGAUGCUACUUGGAGAUGCUACUUGGAGAUGUUACUUGGAGGACUUCAAUCUACUCUCUUCUACAUGCUACGAGGCGGAGGCUGCCAGAAGCGUAGUCUUCGAUAGGACUAGCUAUCCCCCUCUUAUUCUGGCAUUCUGCAGUUCAGUCCACUAAUAUGGCCUCCUUACACAUAUACCCAUGCAUAUGUAGUGUAGUUCCUUGCUUGCGAGUACUUUGGAUGAGUACUCACGGUUGCUUUCUCCCCCUUUUCCCCCUUUCCUUUCUUUCUGGUUGUCGCAACCAGAUGCUGGAGUCCAGGAGCCAGACGCCACCGUCGACGACGACU
rnacentral:lncRNA from 1 species